rnacentral:misc_RNA from 1 species
AGGAGUCGCCACUUUAAUUUUGAGAGAAAUUAAAGAAAAUCGUUUGUAAAAAUAAAAAUUAAAAACCACUUCGAAAACAGAUAUUUUAAGUUCGGGAUCCAUACACGGGUGGGAAAGGUAUUAGGCACCCCACCUCGUCCCUCAACAAGGGCAAACAAAUUUAAUGAUUUGCUCUUUAUAAAUUUAAAUUGAUGAUUUGGGGUUAGAAUUGUGAUGUUAAUCCUUUGUAUUGAUAAAAGGAAUGUUUAAUAUUUCACUGUUAUGGAUUGCCCAAGAACACGAGUACAUGAGAUGACCCUUCAGUGAGUAGU